AUUGAACGCCGGCGGCAGGCCUAACACAUGCAAGUCGAGCGAGCGGCGGACGGUUGAGUAAUGUAUGGGGACUUCCCGACAGAGGGGGAUAACUCCUGGCAACGGUAGCUAAUACUGCAUACUAUCGGAUAACCCAUAUGGGAUUAGCUAGUAGGUGAGGUAAUGGCUCACCUAGGCGACGAUCCCUUACUGGUCUGCGAGGAUGAUCAGCAAAACUGGGACUGAGACACGGCCCAGACUCCUGCGGAGGCAGCAGUGGGGAAUAUUGCACAAUGGGCGAAAGCCUGAUGCAGCAAUGCCGCGUGUAUGAAGAAGACCAUAGGGUUGUAAAGUACUUUCAGUCGAGAGACGUUACCGACAGAAGAAGCACCGGAUAACUCCGUGCCAGCAGCCGCGGUAAUAC
rnacentral:rRNA from 1 species